rnacentral:rRNA from 1 species
CGCCGCGGUUAGACGACGAGGCUCAAAUUGAUGUUCCACCGGCGUAAAGCGUGAUUAGAUAAAUUAAAAAACUAAAGCCAAAUACACCCAUAGCUGUUAUACGCUUACGGACUACUAGGCCCCACCACGAAAGUGGCUUUAACACACUAUUGAAUUCACGACCGCUAAGAAA